rnacentral:rRNA from 1 species
GAUGAACGCUGGCGGCGUGCCUAAUACAUGCAAGUCGAGCGAACAGACGAGGAGCUUGCUCCUCUGACGUUAGCGGCGGACGGGUGAGUAACACGUGGAUAACCUACCUAUAAGACUGGGAUAACUUCGGGAAACCGGAGCUAAUACCGGAUAAUAUAUUGAACCGCAUGGUUCAAUAGUGAAAGACGGUUUUGCUGUCACUUAUAGAUGGAUCCGCGCCGCAUUAGCUCGUUGGUAAGGUAACGGCUUACCAAGGCGACGAUGCGUAGCCGACCUGAGCGGGAGAUCGGCCACACGGGAACUGAGACACGGUCCAGACUCCUACGGGAGGCAGCAGUAGGGAAUCUUCCGCAAUGGGCGAAAGCCUGACGGAGCAACGCCGCGGGAGUGAUGAAGGUCUUCGGAUCGUAAAACUCUGUUAUUAGGGAAGAACAAAUGUGUAAGUAACUAUGCACGUCUUGACGGUACCUAAUCAGAAAGCCACGGCUAACUACGUG